ACGAUGAACCACUUCGGUGGGGAUUAGUGGCGAACGGGUGAGUAACACGUGGGCAAUCUGCCCUUCACUCUGGGACAAGCCCUGGAAACGGGGUCUAAUACCGGAUAUCACUUCCACUCGCAUGGGUGGGGGUCGAAAGCUCCGGCGGUGAAGGAUGAGCCCGCGGCCUAUCAGCUUGUUGGUGAGGUAAUGGCUCACCAAGGCGACGACGGGUAGCCGGCCUGAGAGGGCGACCGGCCACACUGGGACUGAGACACGGCCCAGACUCCUACGGGAGGCAGCAGUGGGGAAUAUUGCACAAUGGGCGAAAGCCUGAUGCAGCGACGCCGCGUGAGGGAUGACGGCCUUCGGGUUGUAAACCUCUUUCAGCAGGGAAGAAGCGAAAGUGACGGUACCUGCAGAAGAAGCGCCGGCUAACUACGUGCCAGCAGCCGCGGUAAUACGUAGGGCGCAAGCGUUGUCCGGAAUUAUUGGGCGUAAAGAGCUCGUAGGCGGUCUGUCGCGUCGGAUGUGAAAGCCCGGGGCUUAACCCCGGGUCUGCAUUCGAUACGGGCAGACUAGAGUGUGGUAGGGGAGAUCGGAAUUCCUGGUGUAGCGGUGAAAUGCGCAGAUAUCAGGAGGAACACCGGUGGCGAAGGCGGAUCUCUGGGCCAUUACUGACGCUGAGGAGCGAAAGCGUGGGGAGCGAACAGGAUUAGAUACCCUGGUAGUCCACGCCGUAAACGGUGGGAACUAGGUGUUGGCGACAUUCCACGUCGUCGGUGCCGCAGCUAACGCAUUAAAGUUCCCCGCCUGGGGAGUACGGCCGCAAGGCUAAAACUCAAAAGGAAUUGACGGGGGCCCGCACAAGCAGCGGAGCAUGUGGCUUAAUUUCGACGCAACGCGAAGAACCCUUCCAAGGCUUGACAUACACCGGAAAGCAUUAGAGAUAGUGCCCCCCUUGUGGUCGGUGUACAGGUGGUGCAUGGCUGUCGUCAGCUCGUGUCGUGAGAUGUUGGGUUAAGUCCCGCAACGAGCGCAACCCUUGUUCUGUGUUGCCAGCAUGCCCUUCGGGGUGAUGGGGACUCACAGGAGACUGCCGGGGUCAACUCGGAGGAAGGUGGGGACGACGUCAAGUCAUCAUGCCCCUUAUGUCUUGGGCUGCACACGUGCUACAAUGGCCGGUACAAAGAGCUGCGAAACCGUGAGGUGGAGCGAAUCUCAAAAAGCCGGUCUCAGUUCGGAUUGGGGUCUGCAACUCGACCCCAUGAAGUCGGAGUUGCUAGUAAUCGCAGAUCAGCAUUGCUGCGGUGAAUACGUUCCCGGGCCUUGUACACACCGCCCGUCACGUCACGAAAGUCGGUAACACCCGAAGCCGGUGGCCCAACCCCUUGUGGGAGGGA
rnacentral:rRNA from 1 species